UGAAUACGAGAUGCUACGGCGUCGAAGCAGUCUAUGUCAUACUUCCAAGAAAAGCUUGCACUGUCAUAAACAAAUAAUGCCUGUACCAUAACCGACACAGGUGGGUAGGUAGAGUAUACUAAGGGGCGCGAGAUAACUCUCUCUAAGGAACUCGGCAAAAUGACUCCGUAACUUCGGGAGAAGGAGUGCCUUAUUUAUAAGGUUGCAAUAACAAGAUCCAAGCAACUGUUUACCAAAAACACAGGUCUCCGCUAAGUCGUAAGACGAUGUAUGGGGGCUGACGCCUGCCCAGUGCCAGAAGGUUAAAGAAGUUGGUUAGCAUCCGCGAAGCUGAUAACUGAAGCCCUGGUGAACGGCGGCCGUAACUAUAACGGUCCUAAGGUAGCGAAAUUCCUUGUCGGGUAAGUUCCGACCCGCACGAAAGGCGUAAUGAUUUGGAUACUGUCUCGGAGAGGGGCUCGGUGAAAUAGACUUGUCUGUGAAGAUGCGGACUACCUGCACCAGGACAGAAAGACCCUAUGAAGCUUUACUGUAACCUGAAAUUGAAAUUGGACUUUACUUGCGCAGUAUAGGUGGGAGGCGUUGAGAAUAUUCUUGCGGGAUUAUUGGAGCCAUCAGUGAGAUACCACUCUUGUAAUGUUAGAUUUCUAACUUUGUAUCAUUAUCUGGUCAAAGAACAGUUUCAGGCGGGCAGUUUGACUGGGGCGGUCGCCUCCUAAACGGUAACGGAGGCGCACAAAGGUUUCCUCUGAACGGGUAGAAAUCGUAUCUAGAGUGUAAAGGCAUAAGGAAGCUUGACUGUGAGACCUACAAGUCGUGCAGGGACGAAAGUCGGUCUUAGUGAUCUGACGGUGCUGAGUGGAAAGGCCGUCACUCAACGGAUAAAAGUUACUCUAGGAUAACAGGCUGAUCUCCCCCAAGAGUUCACAUCGACGGGGAGGUUUGGCACCUCGAUGUCGGCUCAUCGCAUCCUGGGGCGGUAGUACGUCCCAAGGGUUGGGCUGUUCGCCCAUGAAAGCGGUACGCGAGCUGGGUUCAGAACGUCGUGAGACAGUUCGGUCCAUAUCCGGUGUAGGCGUUAGAAUAUUGAGAGGAGCCUUCUUUAGUACGAGAGGACCGAGAAGGACAUACCUCUGGUGUACCAGUUAUCGUGCCAACGGUAAACGCUGGGUAGCUAUGUGUGGAGUGGAUAACCGCUGAAAGCAUCUAAGUGGGAAGCCCACCUCAAGAUAAGUA
rnacentral:rRNA from 1 species